ensembl:lncRNA
GGAAGUGGUCAUCAGGAAGUGUAGAGCCAAACAGAGUACGGUGCAUAGACUGUACAGACAUUUUUUUCCGUUAGUUUUCAUGGUCAGAAUGAGAGAUCAGGUGGCCGAUCUUAAAAUAAAUCAAUAUUGAUUUUUUUUAUAGAGCAUUAAAGUUUUGCAAAGCGAGGAGGCGGGACUACUUGAUUGACAGUCCGGUCUGGAAUGAUUGACAGGUCCUAUGGAGGAGGCAGCAGAGACUCUGUUCUCCUCGUUUGGAUUAAUUCUGAUAUAAUAACUGUUGGUUUAUUUAUCGGUGGAGCAGCAGAACAUUUUCCAGGCAGUUUUCCUUCCCGUUGGCUUGUUUUAACCAGUUUUCUACCUUCGGCUGAUUCUACCAGCAGACACUGAAAGGACUCUGAUAGUUCGAGUGAAAGCAGCAGUUCCUCCUUAAGGUCAGAGAUUGCAGCAUCUGAGGACCUCUUCAAAAGAAGAUGUAGUUGAUGAAGGCGUUCUGGAGCAGGACCAGAAAGACCACGACCAAGCAGCCUUUACAUCUUAGGCAGCGUCUCCCUGAGACCAAAGAACUACAGACUCUUCACAACCUGCUCAAACUCUUGGUACAGGACCUCACCACACGGGUCAAGAAGGUUUCUGUCUCAUUUCUACUCUGAAGAUCACCUUCUCCUGCUCAAACUGCUGACAAAUGUUUCUGCUGCUCUAAAGUCUGGUCUCCAGAACUUCCUAAAAACUCUCAAAGUCUCUUCUGCUGCAGGUUGCUUUGUAGAACUGUCGCAGAAAACCUCACUAAACCACAUGGAGGGGCCUCAAGAUAGUCGUCCAAAUGAAAUCGUACAAAAACCAAACUAGCACAACCCAAACACUAAACUCUCCUGCAGCCUACCAGAGAACCUCUGAGAACAGAGAAUCAGGACAGGAACUCUUACCUUCUGGACAACCAACAUUGGUUCUCAAACAAGAAUACAGAAUGUGUCUGACCAAAAACCUCUAAAGACUCACUACAGCCAAGAUAAAGACACAACUCAGCUGCACCAAAUCCACUAAUCACUGCACACAUUAGGACCAUGUGCUAACUGUGGCUAAAGAACCACAUUUACCAAGACAACUAUCCAGUACAAAGCCAUAAAACACACCAAGAAACACAUUAAAGACGAUUUUACUGCUGGAAGCUGCAAGCCAACACCUAAAGAACAAACUGAAGCAAUGGCGCUAAACCUGAUUCAGUGGUGAAUAGAAGCAGAGGAAAUGUUUGUCUGCAGCUAAAUAAAGCAGGAAGACACUGAGCUGCUCAGGUGUUCCUGAUAACACCAAGCAGCCACCUGGACAGCCAAUAAGAACACAGCUUCCUGGAAGUCCAGAGGGCUGGGUUAGUGAAGGAAAUUUAAUUUAAAGUUGAAGCAGAAAGUUAACAAAGAAAGUUGAAAACCACCUUCUGAUACCUGAAAUCUCUGAGUUUUCACACAAAGAACACCUGAACAUGUCAAACUGGUUUCAUAGUAGAACCAUCAUUGUAAAAACGUCAUAGUAUGGUGUGUUGCUCAAAAAACAUUACGACCCGGCUGUCUAGGGUCACUGAGGAGCAACACAAAAACAGGACAAACGCUGGUUUCCAGGGGGUUAGGCGGCUAUUUAUUUGAAAGAGCAAGUUUACAACAACACAUGUGAGCAGAAAAAUCACAGUCUGUCUUUCGUUCAGCUGAAAAUAUUAGUUUUUGCCUUUUUUAUUGACCAAAUUUUUCAGGAAGUAGAUGAAGAAUAAUUAAAGCUCUCAUGUAGAAGUCCAACUUAUUUUGGCUCCUUGUGGAGAGUUUAAUCUUAGAGUUUGUACAGCUGUUUAGUUUUUAGAGUCACAUGGAUUGUUUUGUCUUCCCCUCUACCUCUUCUGUCCCUCUCAACCCGCCCGGUCAGCAGGCAGAUGGGUCCCCCCACAUUAGAGCCGGGUUCUGCUCGAGGUUUUUUUCCCUGUUAAAAGGGUGUUUUCCUUGCCACUGUCACCUUUUGGCUUGCUCUGGAGGUCAGGCAUAUUGGUUCUGUAAAGCGUCUCGAGACAAUUUGACUGUAAUUGGCGCUAUAUAAAUAAAAUUGAAUUGAAUUGAAUUUAAUAACUGAGUCCUGAAAUAAAAUUACAGUUGUGGAUUUCUGUCAUUUAGUCUGGACUAAACAAAUAACAGCAGCAUAAAUCUCAAAUGUCAUUAUGAGGAGUCUGGAUUGAGGUUUCUCACUUGAUAACGAUCAAAACAUGAAAUUUAGGUUGGUUUAAAGGAAUAUUCCACCUUAAAUCUUUGAAUGUUGACCUAAAAGGUUGGUUUCAGGAAGUAUUCCACCUACAAGGUCCUCAAACAUCCACCUUAAAGGAACAUUCUACCAAAAACCCUUGGACAUGCACCUAAAAUGUUGCUUUAACCGAGUAUUCCAUCCAAAAUCCUCAAAGAGACCUGAGGGGCUGGUUAAAAGGAAUAUUCCACCUAAAACCUCAAAUAUAGACCCGAAAGGGUUGUUUAGAAAAAAUCCUUCAGUGUAGACCAAAAAAGUUAGUAUGGAGGAAUAUUCCACCUGAAAUGUAGACCUGAGAAGUUGGUUCGGAAGAAUAUACCAUCCUAAACAUCCUUAAAUGUAGACUAAAAGACAGUUUGGAAGAGAAUUCCACCUAAAAUCCUCCAAUGUAGACCUAAAAGGUGAGUUUAAUGGUACAUUCGACAUAAAAUUCACGACUGUAGACCUUGGAGGUUAGUCUGAUGAUAUAUUCCACCCAAAAUACCAAGAAGUCAGUGUAAAGGAAAUGUAGACCUAAAAGGAUUGUUUAAAGGAAUAUUUAAACAGUUAUUUUCAUUAUUUAAUAAUCUGUUAUCAGUCAGAACCCUGGCAAACUUAUUUUCAUCAGUUUUUUAGUGGAAGUCACAAAUAAAGGAGCUCUUGGUUUUUCCCAGCGUUACUGAGUCAAAAGCUGCUGUUUCAACACAGACACGUUCACAUGCAUCCACAAACCUCUCAGCACUCAAACACCCACAGACAGGAGGCCGGCUGGACCGAGGCUCGGCGGCGUCCUCAGACCCACGAGUCGGGGAGUCGGUGAACUUGUUGGUCCGGUUUGAAGGCCUCCGUGUGGUCCAGUAGAAGUCCACGUAGUCGGUGUUGGCUUUGAACCACAGCGACUGGCCGCCAUCAGGUGGACCGGCUCGUACUCGUAGGGCUCCUCCUGUAGCCUUGAGGGAACCACAGGAACAUUCAGUAGCUGUUGGAGUUCUUCCUGUCAGGCUCGUAGUAGAACGGCUCUGAAGAAUCUUGUACUUGUCUUAUCUGGAACAAUCUAA